rnacentral:tRNA from 1 species
GCCCGGGUGGCGUAACUGGCAGCCGCGGCGAGCUUAAACCUCGCUUCCCGAAAGGGAGUACGGGUUCAAAUCCCGUCCCGGGCA